AGAGUUUGAUCCUGGCUCAGAACGAACGCUGGCGGCAGGCCUAACACAUGCAAGUCGAGCGAGGGGUAACCCUAGCGGCGGACGGGUGAGUAACGCGUGGGAACGUGCCCUUUGCUACGGAAUAGCCCUGGGAAACUGGGAGUAAUACCGUAUGAGCCCUUUGGGGGAAAGAUUUAUCGGCAAAGGAUCGGCCCGCGUUGGAUUAGGUAGUUGGUGGGGUAAUGGCCUACCAAGCCGACGAUCCAUAGCUGGUUUGAGAGGAUGAUCAGCCACACUGGGACUGAGACACGGCCCAGACUCCUACGGGAGGCAGCAGUGGGGAAUCUUAGACAAUGGGCGCAAGCCUGAUCUAGCCAUGCCGCGUGAGCGAUGAAGGCCUUAGGGUUGUAAAGCUCUUUCAGGGGGGAAGAUAAUGACUGUACCCCCAGAAGAAGCCCCGGCUAACUCCGUGCCAGCAGCCGCGGUAAUACGGAGGGGGCUAGCGCUGUACGGAAUUACUGGGCGUAAAGCGCACGUAGGCGGACUGGAAAGUCAGGGG
rnacentral:rRNA from 1 species